UGGGGAAUUUUGGACAAUGGGCGAAAGCCUGAUCCAGCAAUGCCGCGUGUGUGAAGAAGGCCUUCGGGUUGUAAAGCGCUUUUGUCCGGAAAGAAAUCCUUGGCUCUAAUACAGUCGGGGGAUGACGGUACCGGAAGAAUAAGCACCGGCUAACUACGUGCCAGCAGCCGCGGUAAUACGUAGGGUGCAAGCGUUAAUCGGAAUUACUGGGCGUAAAGCGUGCGCAGGCGGUUUGCUAAGACCGAUGUGAAAUCCCCGGGCUCAACCUGGGAACUGCAUUGGUGACUGGCAGGCUAGAGUAUGGCAGAGGGGGGUAGAAUUCCACGUGUAGCAGUGAAAUGCGUAGAGAUGUGGAGGAAUACCGAUGGCGAAGGCAGCCCCCUGGGCCAAUACUGACGCUCAUGCACGAAAGCGUGGGGAGCAAACAGGAUUAGAUACCCUGGUAGUCCACGCCCUAAACGAUGUCAACUAGUUGUUGGGGAUUCAUUUCCUUAGUAACGUAGCUAACGCGUGAAGUUGACCGCCUGGGGAGUACGGUCGCAAGAUUAAAACUCAAAUGAAUUGACGGGGUCAUAGCUGUUUCCU
rnacentral:rRNA from 1 species